AUAUCACUACGCCAAAAUGCAAUUCAGGCGACUUUUUUUUUGCGACUGAAAUGGAUUCGUCGCAAAUUUGCGACGUUUUAAACAAAAAAAGUCGCAAAAAAUAAAAAGAAUUGCGACUUUACAAAUUUCGUCGCAUAUAUGGUCGCACUAAAGAAGAUAAAAGAAUUCCGUGAGCAUUUGCGACGAAUCAGCUCAAUCGUCGCAAUUGUUUGCGACGAGUUUUCUACAAAACGACGCUACCUCCACCAGAUUUCUCCUUCGCCGCCACCACCAGCUUUUGCCGCCGCUACCACAAGGUUCCAUCGCCGCUGCCCCCGAAUUUCACGACCGCGGAAAACUAUUAAACAAGGUAUUUUCGAUUAGCUUCAGGAAAGAUAACGAGCCAUUCAAGAUUGCGAAUGAGAAUGGGCAACAAAAUUCCUUUGUCGCGGGCAACUAACUAUUAUGAAGAUGAAUGAGGAAAUUGAAGAUCAACUGAUCUUGUAUUUGUAAUGCUACAAGCCUACAACAUUAACUUUUUUUGUACUUUAAUUUCAUAUUUGGUAAUUUAUUUUUAUCGUUGGAUGAUUUUAACUUAAGGAUAUAAAAUUUGAGUUGUUUAA